rnacentral:tRNA from 1 species
GCAGGUGAAGUGUUGUGGUGACACACCGGUACGCCAUGCCGGGAUCGCGGGUUCGAUUCCCGCCACCUGCUCCA